rnacentral:lncRNA from 1 species
GUUUUCUCUAUUCCCCAACUAAUUUUUGGAGAACUUUUUUUUUUUUUUUUUGGUGCUGCUCGUACAGCACCUAGCACACCAAGGGUCCUUCCCACUCAGGCUCCCAGUGCGUCCACAGUACAAAUAUUAUGUCUGCAAGGAGAAGGAGUUCUCAAGUGUUUUGUUGCUCAAAGCAGUAACAAGGAGUAGCUGUUAGUUUAGCUGGUGUCUAAACUAAUGUCUUAAUAACUCACGUUCAGGUUUUGAAACUAAUUGUCAAACUAGAACUGCAUAAAUUAGGGGUGCACACCAUUUACUUAGUUUCAUAAUUUCUUUCUUCCCUAGGUAUGUUUGUUUGCUUCUGUCCCUUGCCCAACUCUUCCCCCAAGCCUGCCUUUUUCUUUCCAAAGUAAAUAACAUUAUUGCUAAAUUUCACUUAUCUAGGGCAGCUGUAUUCUAUCAGCUCAAUACGUUUGUCUUCUAUACAGUUUUCUGUCCAUUAAACAGAAUCUUAAUGUGAGUCACAGCAGUUCAAUUUGGUGUUUCCUGGUUGGAAUAAGAAUCCUCAAAGUUUUGCAGCAGCUGUUCCACAUUAAACACAACUGCACUGGUGUUAAUUCCAGCAUUUUGUGUGUUGAAAAUGCUGCCAGGAAAGCAUGGAUAACAGUUUACAGAAGUCUCCCAGAAGAAGGGUGUGUGUGAGGAUGUGGGGAAAGCAGGGCCUAAGCAGCUCUGUAUCCUUCUUAAAAAACCUAUCUGUCCUGAUGAGCUUGGGGUGGAAUAAAGCCUUUGAAAAUCAGAAAUGUUUACUGAGGGAAACUCUGUUACUGAAGCCCAGUGGAAUGGUGACAUCAGGAGAGACCCUGCUGUCUCUGAUCUUCAAGUGCUUUGCAAGCAUGAUAUCAGCAGCAACAGACUGCACUGAUGCCUUCCUUGACAGCUCAGCCUUGCACAAAAAAACAGUGCCAUUUGUGGCUGCAAAUUCCAGCUUCCCUGCAUGGAGUCCUCAAGGGCUCAGCACCUCCCAUGAGCUUGGCCGCAUACAUGGAAAUGAGUUGGUCAGGAGAGGGGAGGCAAAGGCUGCUGAAGUCCUUCUGCAGAUAACACCCUUCAGUGCACUGAUGUGCACAGAGUCACCCCAGAAUGCAUACUGGCAGAAGACUCCUGGGCCAAGAAGACCGCAUGAGCAAAGCGGAAUAAGAGACAAUGAGAGAUGUGUGUCUCAGCAAGACUUCCACAGAGAAGCCUCAACAUGUGUGCAAGUGUGGUUUUGGACAACCAUAAAUAGAAACCAUACAGAUCUCCAUCUCUAG